AUGCUUCUACAUAAGGAUGCGUCAUACAAAACAUACAGAGCCUUCUUUUCAAACAUUUCUGCCACACUUGAACUACCCAUUAAUGAUGUUGAACUUCGUCUCCACGAAAAUAUAGAGUUUGGCAGUGAUGACGAAAAAGCUAUGACCAAGGCGAUAGAAAAUGCAUUUCCAACUGCCAAACGAAGAUUGUGCACAAAACAUUUAAAGGACAAUGUACAACAUUACCUUCAAGAUCGUGUUGGUGUUAGCACCCAAGAAAGAAAAACCAUCAUCAACACAAUUUUUGGAGAUCAAGGAAUUGCAAGCGCAGACGACACAUUGCAAUUUGCAAGGGCAGAUUCGGAGCUCAAGGACUUGUGUGCAAAUCAUCCUCAGUUCCUGAAAUAUUACGAACAAAGUUUUAAGCCACGAGUUGAAGAAUUCGUUAAUGAACCCAAUAGACGUUUAGGCACUAAGCAAAUGUGGACGAACAACAAUGCAGAAUCCAUGAACCGGGUGAUGAAAGUGGCAGUAAACUGGAAGCCCCAACAUGCACCAGAUUUGGUUGAUAAACUAUUUGACAUGGUGGACUUCCAGUUCAUUAAUCUACGGUCAGCCCUUCAUCAUUCUGGGGACUACAUGCUGGUCAACUCAUACAAACAGUACACUAUAGCAGAUGCCAUCUGGAAAACAAAAUCAGACGAGGAAAAACGAAAGCUCUUUAAUAAUUUCCUGCAGGACAGCAAAAAAAGAAAACACGAAAAUAUCAUAACUUCAUCCGAUGGACUAUACUCUGUUGUGAACAAGGCUAAGUCAAUAGCCAAGAAACCUAUGCAGAGAAAGAGACCAAGAACAGAAAGAGCCGAAAAAAGACAGUAA
rnacentral:sRNA from 1 species